rnacentral:rRNA from 1 species
GACGAACGCUGGCGGCGUGCUUAACACAUGCAAGUCGAACGGAAAGGCCCUGCUUUUGUGGGGUGCUCGAGUGGCGAACGGGUGAGUAACACGGGAGUAACCUGCCCUUGACUUUGGGAUAACUGCAGGAAACUGGGGCUAAUACCGGAUAGGAGCUCCUGCUGCAUGGUGGGGGUUGGAAAGUUUCGGCGGUUGGGGAUGGACUCGCGGCUUAUCAGCUUGUUGGUGGGGUAGUGGCUUACCAAGGCUUUGGUGGGUAGCCGGCCUGGGAGGGUGACCGGCCACAUUGGGACUGAGGUACGGCCCAGACUCCUACGGGAGGCAGCAGUGGGGAAUAUUGCACAAUGGGCGGAAGCCUGAUGCAGCAACGCCGCGUGCGGGAUGACGGCCUUCGGGUUGUAAACCGCUUUCGCCUGUGACGAAGCGUGAGUGACGGUAAUGGGUAAAGAAGCACCGGCUAACUACGUG